rnacentral:rRNA from 1 species
GACGAACGCUGGCGGCGCGCUUAACACAUGCAAGUCGAACGGAAAGGCCUGCUUUCCCUUGUGGAUUGCGGGUACUCGAGUGGCGAACGGGUGAGUAACACGUGAGUGAUCUGCCCCCAACUUGGGUAUAAGCCUGGGAAACUGGGUCUAAUUCCCGAUAGGACUGCAGGGUGGUGCCUGUGGUGGAAAACGAUUUUCUAGUGGUUGGUGAUGAGCUCGCGGCCUAUCAGCUUGUUGGUGGGGUAAUGGCCUACCAAGGCGGCGACGGGUAGCCGGCCUGAGAGGGUGGACGGCCACAUUGGGACUGGGUUACAGCCCAGACUCCUACGGGAGGCAGCAGUGGGGAAUAUUGCACAAUGGGCGGAAGCCUGAUGCAGCGACGCCGCGUGGGGGAUGACGGCCUUCGGGUUGUAAACUCCUUUCGACCGCGAGGAAGCCACCUGGUUGGAAGGGUGGUGACGGUAGUGGUAGAAGAAGCACCGGCUAACUACGUG